AGAUACUUAUGAGCAUGCCUAUCUGAACAUGAAACCUAUUUAUAUUUUCUCUCAAAUUUCUGGUCAUAUUUCUUUCUUUUCUUUUUUUAAUAAAUUUUCCGCAAAAAAAAAAAAGGAAGAAGAAGAGACGCGUCUUUAAUUAAAAGAAAAACAAAAGACGAACAGUUACGUCUUCAGUGUUGUGUAUUGACUCCGUCUCUUCCUCUUCUUUCUUCCAGGCGAAGAUUGCUCUUCCUUCUUUCACGCUUCAUAUCUAUGGACCAUGUGUUCUUUACUGCUAUAACCUGCGUAGCAAAGCUAAAGUGAGAGUUCCAUGAGGCAAAUUUAUUUAUUAUUUAUUAUUUAUUUUUAUAAUCAAAACCUUCAGAAGGCAAAGCUUUUUCUUCGUUUUGUUGAAAUACAAAUUAUCUCCUGAUUGAGCAGCAAUUUACUUUGGCUGACUUACUAUAGAUGGGGAAUAUAGUAUGUUUUAUAUCGAUUCCUUUCUAUUUAGACCCACAUUUUAUUACAUGUAACAAUCUGUCUUUAAAAAAAGAAAAAGAAUAUGUGUGUUAUACCCCGCACUUUCAGAGCAUGAGCAUGACACGUACGUCACCAUAGUAAUGGAGGGUCGGAGACGUCCCAUGAUGCUUUGGAAGGUACAAGCAAUGUGAAGUAUGUAAAAAUGAAGUAAAGGAUGAAUUACGAUCCCGUAAGUCGUAAUCGGGAAAGACUAUUCUGAAACACAAAAACAUGGCCAUUAUCAUGUGUAGUAAAUGAUAAAUAUCAUGUACGGAGAGUUUCGGAAGAUCCGAGAUCAAGCAAAUUCAAGAAAAUAAGUUUGACGAAAAUUUGAGAAAUGUUGGACAAAUGUUUAGUCAACUUUGGAGGGGCUGCUACAGUGUCGCUACAGUACUGCCGACCCAACUUAUUAUAAAAGGGGUCAAAACCCCAUUUUUCAUCAUCAAAAUUGUCCAAACCUUUCCAGAAAUUUCAACAAAGGAAAAGGACUCUCAUAUCACCCAAAAGUGAGGAUUUUGAGUAAAAUUAAUUAAAGCUACGGAGUAUUAAUCGAGGUCCAAGCAACGUGUGGUGGUGAUUGUAGUAUUGUCUUGUGGCGGAUUGGCUUGGAUUCAAGGUGAAGGAGUGAAGAUAUAGUAUUAUUAUCAAGAUAAAGACUUGCGAGCCCGGACGAAUAAGCGUAGCUAAUAGGAGGUUGAACAGGUAGCCAGUCGGACAAUUCACAGCAGUAGGACAUCUCCCCACUGCAGCAGUCAGUACGCUCCAUUGAUCCGGAGCUACACCCUUUUUGGUAUGCUAUUCCGUUACGUACAUGCAUGGGUACGGCAGGGCCUUGUCCUGUCAUUUUUAUUUACAGAUUGUAUCCUAUAGAGGUCUGUAGACAGUGAUAUGUUGCCAUGGUAUUAUGCAGCCUCGUCGGCGUGUAUUUUAUUGUACAGUAUAUAUGUGUGGCGGUCAAAUCGGCUCACACUGUUACUUUCCGUAAUUAUGUUUAUAUGUAUGUGUUGGCCGUGAGUCCCCGGUACGGUGUCUUUUAUGUUAAAUGUUGGGAGGCAGUAUAGCAUAGUUACAGAUCGUAUAUGGGCCCAGGACAGUCAGUGGCAAGUAAAUGUAAGCACAGGAGUGCUUGGCCAGUAGUGGUCGGGCACUUGUUACGGCCCAUCGGUUUGGGUCGUGACAAUGUGCUUCGUUAAGUCAUUCCACUAAACUAAUCUUUAUUGAUUGAGCUUUUCCAGCCUUGGUUUGAAAACCUUAACAGUCCAGUUUGCAUAGUUCGUAGUCAUUGCUAGAGGAAAGAACUUGUGUUUACAUGGAUUCAUUAACUGUAGAUCUAAAAAUUCAUAAGAGUUGUGUAUCAAGAUACUUACUAAUAAGAAGUUAUCUAUCGAGGUAUCGGUUCCUGACUUACCCUUAUUUCGGAUAAGUUCCUGACUUUCCUAUGACGGGCUGUCUCUUUGAUCACAUUUUUUUCCCUGAACUUUGUAUACAUUAUGUUACUGCACUAGAAGAAUUUUACAUUCUGGAUUGGCUUUAUCCAAUAAAAAUUUGUAAUAUUUUAGUCUCUUUACUACCACACUAAAUGGUACAACUGCAAACAUCAUUAGUUUCAUGUCCAAGUAGGUGAACUAUUCUGCUGCCAAACUCAGAAGGUUUAGGUUGGUCAUGUGUUAAUACUUUGUUGAAUUUGGAGAAUUUUGGGUUUUAAAUUUUCAGAUGGUCACUAUUUAGCUUUAUUUAUGUUUGAUUGGAAAAGAAAAAUUGUAGAAGAGUUAUCUUCCUUUUCAGGGCCAUUCGGGUAUAUCAGUAGAUGAUACAUUGAAGAUCAUAACCUGCCGGUUGAUGAUUCUUUUGCCAGGGAACAACAGAAAAGGCUAGCUGCACUUCACAUGGAACCCAGCAAAGCCAGCCAGAAAAAAGUUUUGUAUCUAAGCAUCCAAUGGAUAAUCAUGAGAAGGAUUCAAAAAAAAACUUCUAGCUAUUGUAGGUAUCUCUACAAAUUGUGGCAACAAGAAAAAUAGAGAUUCGAUUUGGAAAGCAUGGAUGCCUACUGGUUUGGCUCUCUUUUCCCUUCCCUUUUUCUUAAUUUCUUUUGUUAGGCCUUGUGAAGCUAAAAUUCAAGCAACUCCACUAAGAUGCUGAAUAUAUACUUUAGCUCACUUUGUUGAUGCAAUCAUUGUCUGUUGAACACAUUUAGCCUUGAUUGUUGUUGAAUUUCCUAGCAGCAUCAUUCGUCUUGUCUUAAUCAGAAGUAUCUGCAGUAUAACUGCAAUAAUGAUGAAUUAACUUUUGAAUAACUGAUUUCAUUCUAAAUCUAUAAGCUAUUUUUCCAGGUGUUGCGCUUAAAAAAUUAGAGGAGGAGAAAGGUAUCGUAAUACAGAUGAAUCAUUUCAUUUAGAUGAAGCUACAAGUAAUAUAUCUUAUGUUUUGACUUUCAGUUUAAAGUGAAUAAAGAUGCAAAUUUAACUAAUAUACAUUGAUAGUGUAAAAGAUUUUUCGUUGUCAGUGUAGUUUUGCUAGAUAUAUUAGAUAAUUUACCCGUUAUAAUAGCUUAUGGUGGAAUCAUGAAGAAAUUUUAAAUAGUAAAGAUUGCUUUUGUGUUCCAAAUUAUUUCGACAUAUCUUUGUUUUCUUUAUUAGUGUGAAUUAGAAAAAUCUUUAAUUAGCCCUAAUCUAGAUAUUUAUAUAAAGUUGAUCUAUAGCCUAGGUUACAUGGCACUUCGACAAAUCAGAAAACUAAUUUAUCCUUUUUUUCUUUUGUUUUGUUAUUUGUUUGCUUAUUGUUUUGUGCUUUUCCCAUUUUCCCGGAUUCUUUAUUUAUCAUUGCAAUAGAGAUUGGCAAUAAGAGUUGUGAGUGUUAAAAUAAACAAUCGUAUCCAUUAUGAUUCUCAAGUUCUGGUGAUAGUGGUGGAUUAAUUUUGAGGUUAAUUGUCAUCGUUUCCCUCCCCAUUAAGCUUUAAGCACCAUUUCUUUGUGAUAAAAAAACGGAUAGAGGAACAACGAAACUAACUAGGAAUUCAAAAGGGACCAGGAAAUUAAAGGAUAAAUAAGUUGCCACAAAGAGAAAUACCAAUUGGCAACUAAGGUUCUAUAUAACCAAGACCUCCAAUUGAGUAAUCACAAGCACCAAACUUUUUAAGAAGAUCAAAAGGGAUUGAUUUCCCAAUUAACCACCUUCUCAACAAUUCAAACAACCAAAAGCUUCACAAGCUCUCAAACACUCAAUUCUAGAGUUUACAAGUUUUCAAUAUCUCUCAUAAAAAUAAUCUAAGUCUUCCAUGAAGAAGACGAGAACUACUUAUACUAUGCUAGAAAUAAAAGAUAGCAAAAUGACAUAAACACCUUUAAUGAGACAAGGGUCUUAUUUGGCUAUUCUUCUUCCUUCAAAAUCUUGAAAUCUCCUUUGCAAAAAUAGCCAACUCUUCAUCUUUUAGCCAUUGUGGUGACUUCCCAUUUCCUCUUCUUCUCCCAAAUCUUCAUCAACAAAUGGACUUAGGAUCUAAGGUGCUCAUCAAAAGUAUACUCAAGAGCCUCCCGCUUCAUGAAUAGGCUUUGCAAGUGUUGUAGUUCCCCGACUUGGCUCCUUGUAAAUGGCCUUGAGGCAAGUGGGCAUGCAUCAUUCUCCCCAUCUUGAAGAGAAUUUGUCCUCAAAUUUCAUGGCUCAUCACUUUCCAUUACCAUGGGAGAUAGGUCACAAAUGUUGAAGGUGUUGUGAACUUGAUAAUCCGGAGGGAGAUCAAUUUUGUAGGCAUUAUCAUUAAGCCUCUCAAGGACUUCAAAGGGACCAUCCCCACGCGGCAUCAACUUUGUCUUCCUCUUGUUUGGGAACCUUUCUUUUCGGAAGUGCACCCACAACCAAUCUCCUGAUUCAAGGACCACCCUUUUUCUCCCUUGGUUUGCCCUUUUCACAAUCUUUUGAUUCUUCUUUUCAAGUUGGAGCCUUGCCUUUUCAUGGAUCUUCUUCAUAGCUUCAGCUCUCUUGUUAUCAUCUAUACUCAAUACCAUAUCUUGAGACAAAGGCGUUAGAUCCAAGGGGGUUAGGGGGUUAAAACCAUACAACACCUCAAAGGGUGACAUGCCAAUAAUGUAUGAGUAACUCUAUUAUAUACAAAUUCUACUAAAGGCAAUUGGUCUUCCCAAGAGGCUAGCUUCCCUUUUACCGUGGCCCGAAACAUAGAACCUAAAGUCCUAUUGACAACUUCGGUUUGGCCAUCAGUUUGUGGGUGGCAAGAGGUGGAAAACAACAACUUCAUUCCAAGCCUACCCCACAAUUCUUUCCAAAAGUGGCUAAGGAACUUGGAAUCCCUAUCGCUCACAAUUUUCUUGGGAAUGCCAUGCAAUUUAACCAUUUUCAACAAACAAGGAAGCAAUAUGGGGAGCAUCAUCAACCUUAUGGCAAGCAAUGAAAUGGGCCAUUUUCGAAAAACGAUCAACAACAACAAAGAUGCUAUCUUUCCCCCUUUUUGUCCUAGGCAAUCCCAUCAUAAAGUCCAUGGAAAUGUCAAACCAAGGUUGUUGAGGGAUGGGAAGGGGAGUGUACAAGCCAUGGGGUUGGAGCCUAGAUUUAGUUUUUCGGCAUUCAAGGCAUUGGCCACAAAUUCGGGCCACAUCCCGCCGCAUAUGAGGCCAAUAGAAUUGCUCCUCAAGAAUGCCCAUUGCCUUGUCAAUCCCAAAGUGUCCCAUCAAUCCCCCAUUGUGUGCCGCCCUUACAAAUAACUCCCUCCAAGAGCUCAUGGGCACACAUAGUCGCUUGUUCUUGAACAAGAAACUAUCAAACUUAGAAUAGGGAGUAGAAGAUCUAUCCCUAAGAUACCUUUCCCUUUCCCAUUCCCAUUCUUCGCAUUCUAGAAAGAUUUGUGCAAAGAUGGGGUCCUCGGGAUACAAUGUCUUGAAGCUCUCAAAACCCACCAAUUUGGAAGACAAAGUAUUGAUCAAAACAUGUUUUGAUCAAUACUUAAGAAUUGGUGUUUCUGGUGUUUCUUUUUAUGAUAAUUUAGAGGUCUUAGUUUUAUAUAACUUUGGUUGCUAAAUUGAAUCUUAAGUUGUGUCAAAUUAUCUAUCUUUUCUUUUCCUUUUGUUUGUCUUCUUAAUUUCUCAUUUCCGCGUAUCCGUUAUUGUAUCAAUUUGGGAUGCAUAUAAUUAUCACAACAUUGAGCAUUUAUAAGUUUCCUAUUGUAAUUCUGAGACUCUCAAGUUCAAGAAUAAACAAAUAGCUUACAGGUGCAAGUGAAAAUGCUAUAAUUUUGGAAGUCCACCAGAAAUAAUGUUAUUGAUUGAAGAUGAACGGAGGUCCAAGCAUUCUAGGUUGAGAAGUAAGAAGCAUAGGCGAUGCCAAUGUGAUGCCCAAGUGCAAGUCAAAAUGCUAUAAUUUUGGAAGUCCACCAGAAAUAAUGUUACUGAUUGAAGAUGAACGGAGGUCCAAGCAUUCUAGGUUGAGAAGUAAGCAGCACAGACGGUGCCAAUGUGUUGCCCAAGAUAGUACUUCAUUACAUAGAAUAAUAUAUCAUUGCACCUUAUCCAACAACAUUAACUUUCUUUAUAGCAGACAUAUUUUUAAGGGUAUAGUUCAACCAUUGUCCUCUGUUACUAAGUUGGCUUUAGAUUCAAAGACAUAGCUAUACCUUUUUACUGGUCAACAACAUAACUGUACUUAAUUCUUGCUCUUAUUGAUAUUGUCUCUAUAAAACUUA